rnacentral:lncRNA from 1 species
AUGAGGAGCUCUGCUGCCAUAGAUGCUCAUCGAUACGAGGCACUGGAAUACCAGUUUGAGACAACAAUCAAGAUCCAGGCCAAUAACUGGACGUUUCCACAAAGAAAUGUACCCCGACAAAGCAGCGUGAUGGCAACACAGCAAACUAUAGGAAAAGGCCAAGAAAGGGUAUCAGAGACUGAUUACAAGAUGUCAGACUGCCAUCGCAUCCACAUGAGAACACAGGUAGCUUUCCAUGCCUGCAUCAUGGCAUACAAAGGCACAGAAGUGCUCCAUUCCCCAGAGUGAGAAGAGACCUCCCAUUUUUAGAGAGAACCACCACGAAGGAGCAUGCAAUGAGUUCACAGCAUAGCUGUUGCACUUCAAGCUCACACCCUAUCUUACAGUGCUGUAACUUCUUCUUGCUCCAACAGCUACUUUUGAGAGUGAAUUGUGCAACAAGGAGGGUCUGUUUGCUGACUGUGUGAGAAGCAUCCCAAAUUUUUCAUCUCUCUGCUAACCAUGAACACUUAUCUGAUGGGAAAGGGCAGUCAGGCAGCUGCUCGCAGGCUGUCCAGCUCCACAAUGGCAAAGCCAGGGCUUGCUGCCUCCUGGAGCUGGCUGGAGGGGAACCUCACCCCAAAGUUUUUGGGGUGGCACCAUACAACCAUCAUCCCAUGGUGAACCUUCACUUUGGGAGCUGCGUUUGUUCUCCUUGAGAGAUGUGUGCUUCUGACAAUGAUGCUGGCACCCCACAUGGCAAAUGAAAAUUUGAUGGAUUUAUUAUGGAUGAAAAACAGUAGGGAAAAUGCACACUAGUGAGACAGGCAGCACAAAACUAGAUCCAGUGUCUUCAGCUGGCGUUUCCAAACAGGAUUAAGCUAAAUGGCAUAAAAUCAUCAGAUUAAACUGGAUGCAUACUAUAAACUAUACACAAGUACUACAUGCAUAAGUUACAUGCAGAUUCAAUGGCAUUGCAGGGAAGGAGUGCAAAAUGGAUGCAAGUGUAGAAUAGCUAUUAGGCUUUUAAAUUCCUCCUUUCUCUUUUUACACACUAGCAACCCCCUAAAUACCCCCUAAAUACCUCAUGUAGCCAAACUCAUAAACCCAGCACAUUUGUUAGAUUUUGUCAGACUUUCCCACUAGUCGAAAUUAUCUAAGUUUAAUAAACCUUAAUGAUAUCACUUUCUCCGUUUUCCC